rnacentral:snRNA from 1 species
AGCUCUCAGCCUUUUGGCUAAGAUCAAGUGUAGUAUCUAUUCUUAACAGAAAAGAAGGGAAAUAAAGUGUUAGGCUCAGAAGCCAGCCCCCUAACUUUUAACUAGUUCAGGCUUUUAUCCCAC